CCGAUGCAAACUACGAAUACCGAAGAAUGUUAUCACGGGAGACACACGGCGGGUGCUAACGUCCGUCGUGAAGAGGGAACAACCCAGACCGCCAGCUAAGGUCCCAAAGUCAUGGUUAAGUGGGAAACGAUGUGGGAAGGCACAGACAGCCAGGAUGUUGGCUUAGAAGCAGCCAUCAUUAAAGAAAGCGUAAUAGCUCACUGGUCGAGUCGGCCUGCGCGGAAGAUGUAACGGGGCUAAACCAUGCACCG
rnacentral:rRNA from 1 species